UUUAUUGGCAGACAAUUGCAAUAGAAUUAGAAUCUAACUACCC
rnacentral:tRNA from 1 species